CUUCAUCACUGCCCUGGCAUCAGCCUCCGCAUGCAAGGCCACCACAGCCACCAGGUGGGGGGGUCCGUCCCUGCUGCCCAACUUCCGCUUCUCUGUCAGUACCUGAGGCCGGCAGCAGGGGGCAACAUGCACACAGGUAGAGGGCGCUUUCUCCCUGUCUGCACUCAUGGCCAUGGCAGAGGGGCAGGACAGGGGCACAGAGGGCUGUCCUCGGGGCUCUGUCUCAGGAAAUGCCAGUUUGCAGAGAUAAGAAGGCAGUUCCCAGGAAAGGGAAGAAGAAGGUUCUGCUGUUGACUGUUUUCUUAUCCAGAUGGCCUUUGUUGCCUGGAUACACAUCUGUCGACAAUGGCAGCAGAGACAUGGAAUGCUGCAUUCCCAUUGGCAGAGCAACAGGGGAUCUGGAAAGGAGCCAAUCAGGAGUGCCGGCUGCUCAUCCUGCACUCACAUUGGCUGACUGUGGCCGGGAAUAGAACGUUGCUGCCAUUCUCUCACUCUACAUCUCCGGGAUGUGUUUCUACCCGCAUUAUUAUGAAUGGAGGACAGUAAGCCAGUUCCAACUUUGUGGAGUUGGUUUAGCACAGGAGGCUCAAUGUGCAUCGGUCAACCUUAACAUGCUGUUUGUUUGA